rnacentral:rRNA from 1 species
UACGUAGGGUGCGAGCGUUGUCCGGAUUUAUUGGGCGUAAAGGGCGCGUAGGCGCCUGGCAAGUGGAUGGUGAAAUCCCUCGGCUUAACCGAGGAACUGCCAUCCAGACUGCUUGGCUUGAGACCGGGAGAGGUGAGUGGAAUUCCCAGUGUAGCGGUGAAAUGCGUAGAUAUUGGGAGGAACACCAGUGGCGAAGGCGGCUCACUGGACCGGUACUGACGCUGAGGCGCGAAAGCGUGGGGAGCAAACGGG